CUGUUCAAAAAACCCCAGCGUCCGCCUAUCUACAUCCCUGACGAAAUAGUGUCUUAAACUAAGAGUGCACCCAUACAUCUAACUAUAGGUCAAAAAAACUCGGCGGCGCGCCCGGACGCAAACGACGACACAAGAAACAUAGAAAAACCGGCAAACCAUUGGGCGAGAAAAAGCGUUUAAAACAUAGAGACACAGAGACAAUCCUACAAAAAACGUCUCUCGCCACUGGGCUUCUUCGGUCGUUCGGACGCGGGACGGACCGGGAGGUGAGAAUGGAGAAAUAGGAGGGAGGGAAUAGUACGGGAAUCGGGGGAGAUUUAGAGAGAAAAAGAACCGAUGAAAAAACCAAAGAGGCGUCGUUCGAUUAUUAUUUGAAAUGUUCGGUUUACUAUGCGAACGAUU
ensembl:ncRNA R166.9 ncRNA